GAUAUGAAGAACUUGUUCAGAUUUGAUUUUCAACAUUGCAAUGAGUGGCGAACGGGUGAGUAACACGUGGGAAACCUACCUCUUAGCAGGGGAUAACAUUUGGAAACAAAUGCUAAUACCGUAUAAUAAUUAAAACCGCAUGGUUUUAGUUUAAAAGAUGGUCUUGCUAUCACUAAGAGAUGGUCCCGCGGUGUAUUAGUUAGUUGGUGAGGUAAUGGCUCACCAAGACAAUGAUACAUAGCCGAGUUGAGAGACUGACCGGCCACAAUGGGACUGAGACACGGCCCAUACUCCUACGGGAGGCAGCAGUAGGGAAUCUUCCACAAUGGACGAAAGUCUGAUGGAGCAACGCCGCGUGUGUGAUGAAGGGUUUCGGCUCGUAAAACACUGUUGUAAGAGAAGAAUGACAUUGAGAGUAACUGUUCAAUGUGUGACGGUUUCUUACCAGAAAGGAACGGCUAAAUACGUGCCAGCAGCCGCGGUAAUACCUAUGUUCCAAGCGUUAUCC
rnacentral:rRNA from 1 species